GACGAACGCUGGCGGCGUGCCUAAUACAUGCAAGUUGAGCGCUGAAGGUUGGUUCUUGUACCAACUGGAUGAGCAGCGAACGGGUGAGUAACGCGUGGGGAAUCUGCCUUUGAGCGGGGGACAACAUUUGGAAACGAAUGCUAAUACCGCAUAAAAACUUUAAACACAAGGUUUAAGUUUGAAAGAUGCAAUUGCAUCACUCAAAGAUGAUCCCGCGUUGUAUUAGCUAGUUGGUGAGGUAAAGGCCCACCAAGGCGAUGAUACAUAGCCGACCUGAGAAGGUGAUCGGCCACAUUGGGACUGGGAAACGGCCCAAACUCCUACGGGAGGCAGCAGUAGGGAAUCUUCGGCAAUGGACGAAAGUCUGACCGAGCAACGCCGCGUGAGUGAAGAAGGGUUUCGGAUCGUAAAACUCUGUUGGUAGAGAAGAACGUUGGUGAGAGUGGAAAGCUCAUCAAGUGACGGUAACUACACAGAAAGGGACGGCUAACUACGUG
rnacentral:rRNA from 1 species